rnacentral:rRNA from 1 species
UGGGGAAUAUUGGACAAUGGGCGCAAGCCUGAUCCAGCAAUGCCGCGUGUGUGAAGAAGGCCUUAGGGUUGUAAAGCACUUUCAGGGGGGAGGAAAGGCCCGCAAGGGUUUUGACGUUACCCCCAGAAGAAGCACCGGCUAACUCUGUGCCAGCAGCCGCGGUAAUACAGAGGGUGCGAGCGUUAAUCGGAAUGACUGGGCGUAAAGCGCGCGUAGGCGGUUAUAUAAGUUGGGUGUGAAAUCCCUGGGCUCAACCUAGGAAUUGCAUUCAAAACUGUAUGACUUGAGUGAAGUAGAGGUGAGUGGAAUUUCCGGAGUAGCGGUGAAAUGCGUAGAUACCGGAAGGAACACCAGUGGCGAAGGCGACUCACUGGGCUUUAACUGACGCUGAGGUGCGAAAGCGUGGGGAGCAAACAGG